rnacentral:misc_RNA from 1 species
UAAUAAUUGGUGCAUUGAUACAAAAUAUUAAAAAUAUAUGAAUUAAAGUGUUGUUAAACUCGGACAAUUUUCAACUCACUAACAGUAAAUUUUAACCUAAUGACAAACAUACCUCAAAAACCAACUUGUUUGUAAUAAAGAAAAAAAAAUAUGAAUUUUGCCAUAACUCAAAAACCAAUUGUAAAUCACCCGAGGCAAUUUGAAGAUACAUCACAACAUUUGAAACAAGGUUGAGCAAAAGUACCGACUUGGUUAAAAAUCAGACUCCAUAUCCAGCCUGUUUUGAUUAGGAAAAGAGAGAAGAAAUCAGGGGGAAAAAAAAGAAAAAAACAAAUGUUAAUACAAAACUCGAAACAAAAUCAAAUAUAUAUACAGCAGAUUUGAAAUAAAUUUUACACAAAACCUGCACUCAGGUGGAUGAUUUCCUCUCUUUCACCAAUUAUGACAGCAAUAACAUAAAAAAUUAACAGAGAAAAUCUACAUUAUGCAGUAGAAAUCACGAAUAACAUGAUCUGCUAUAUGCGAUCAUGCGGCAGUCACAAAACCACUGCCAUUUUCCAGAACCGUUGAGAGCCCAUCAGGCAUAACAAGAUCUUUGUAUUUUACGAUUUACCAGUUCAGUCCAAAGACAGUAUCAGCCUCAUGAAUUUCUGAACACCAAUUUGACCAUGGAGGACACCACCUUCCCAAUACACAUUUCUUCAUUCAUUCUUGGUCUCAGUGAGAUGUGUCUGAUCCAUUUAUAGCAAUCAAGUUGUACAUACAGCAGCAAGGUUAAAUGUUGAAAAAUGUAGUAGUCAUAUGAUGUCAACAAGAGCCUGUGGGCGAGGCCUUGAUCUCAUUAUUGUCUCAUCACUGUGUUUGAUCCAUUCUGAGAGCUUCCAUGGCUUCUGCCACUUCCAUU